rnacentral:rRNA from 1 species
UACGAAGGGGGCUAGCGUUAAUCGGAAUUACUGGGCGUAAAGCGCGCGUAGGUGGUUCGUUAAGUUGGAUGUGAAAUCCCCGGGCUCAACCUGGGAACUGCAUUCAAAACUGUCGAGCUAGAGUAUGGUAGAGGGUGGUGGAAUUUCCUGUGUAGCGGUGAAAUGCGUAGAUAUAGGAAGGAACACCGAUGGCGAAGGCAAUCCCCUGGG